CUUGGGUUUUCUAAGUUUUUUAGGGUUUUUAGGAUUUUUAGGAUUUUUUAUUAGUUUUCUAGGAUUUUCUAGGGUUUUUUAGGGAUUUCUAGGGUUUUUAUGAUAUUCUAGGACUUUUAAGGGUUUUCUAGGUUUUUUGCAUUUCUUUUAGAGUUUUCUAGGGUUUUCUAGGAUUUUCUAUGGUUUUUUAGGGUUUUCUAAGAUUUUCUAGGGUUUUCUAGGGUUUUAGGAUUUUCUAUGGUUUUCUAUGGUUUUUAGGGAUUUCUUGGGUUUUUCAGGGUUUUUUUAUGGUUUUUUUGUUUUCCAGGUCUUUUUGGGUUUUAUAUGGUUUUAUUGGAUUUUCUAGGCUUUUCUAGGGGUUUUUAGGGUUUUCCAUGAUUUUUUAGGGUUUUUAGGCAUUUUAGGGUUUUCUAGGGAUUUUAGGGUUUUCUAGGGUUUUUAGAAUUUUUUAGGUUUUUUAGGGUUUUAUAUGGUUUUGUAGGGUUUCUUAGGGUUUUCUUAGGUUUUCUACGGUUUUCUAGGUUUUUUAGGAAUUUCCAGGGUUUUCUAGGAUUCUUUAGAGUUUUCAAGGUUUUCUAGAGUUUUCUAGGGUUUUUUAGGAUUUUCUAGGGUUUUUAGAGUUUUCUAGAAUUCUCUAAGGUUUUCUUGGAUUUUCUUGGGUUUUCUAAGUUUUUUAGGGUUUUUAGGAUUUUUAGGAUUUUUUUUGUUUUCUAGGAUUUUCUAGGAUUUUUUAGGGAUUUCUAGGGUUUUUAUGAUAUUCUAGGACUUUUAAGGGUUUUCUAGGUUUUUUGGAUUUCUUUUAUAGUUUUCUAGGGUUUUCUAGGAUUUUCUAGGGUUUUUUAGG